UACGUAGGGGGCAAGCGUUGUCCGGAUUUACUGGGCGUAAAGAGCGUGUAGGCGGCCAAACAGGUCCGUUGUGAAAACUGGAGGCUCAACCUCCAGACGUCGACGGAAACCGUGUGGCUAGAGUCCGGAAGAGGAGAGUGGAAUUCCUGGUGUAGCGGUGAAAUGCGUAGAUAUCGUCUGGAACGCCAAAGGUGAAAACAGACUGCUGGGAGUGUGCUGACGCUGAGACACGAAAGCCAGGGGAGCAAACGGG
rnacentral:rRNA from 1 species